rnacentral:lncRNA from 1 species
UACGUCUGUUUCUAGUGUUCAAAGUACGAUUCGAAGGGUUAUAAGUGGGUGGAUGCAUUAAUUAAAAAUUCGGUAAAGGAAAGAUGGUUCAAAGUAGGAUUCAAAUGGUCAUAAGUGGGUGGAUGCAUUAAUUAAAAAUCCGAUGAAGGAAAGGUCAUUCAAAGGUGAUUCAAAGUAGGAUUUGAAGGGUCAUAAGUGGGUGGAUGCAUUAAUUAAAAAUUCUGUGAACAAUAAAAAGCCACAUAGAAAAAAUAUAAUACAUAAAAUAAAGGUGGGACCCAAUUCCUUAAAAUAAGGUAUAC